AGAAACCCUUACCUGGUCUGCCAGUGAUCGCCACAGUCCUUUGGCACAUCUGGAAGGCUCGAAAUGCAUUUAUUUUUGGACGAAAACAUCCUGAUCCGCAUCGUGUGGCUGAAGAAGCAAUGCUUCAAUCUCGUGUGGAUUCUACUGUUGCUCGUUCUUCCACCUGCAAAGCUGCUUUGUUUCAGCAUCACGGAACUAUAUGGAGACCCCCAGAUCCGGGGGUUUUAAAGGUCAAUAUCUAUGGAUCUUAUCAACUGGGAAGCAGGGAAGGGACUAUGGCUUAUGUGUGUCGUGAUUCGCACGGACAACUUACCGGUGGCUUCUCAGAUAGCUUUGCUGCCUUCUCGGCUCUGCAGGCGGAGAUCCAUGCUUGCUUGCUUGCUCUCCGUCAUUUGAUUGAUCAAGACCUCUCUCAUGUUGCGCUGACUCUUGAAUCGGAUUGCCAAACCCUCAUCGAGACACUGAAGGGUCAGCGCUCGCCGCCAUGGCAAGAACGAAGCCUCUUCUCCGAAGCUGCCUUCCUGCUUUCGUUUUUUCCCAACAUUUCCCUAGCCUUUUG
rnacentral:lncRNA from 1 species